rnacentral:rRNA from 1 species
AGUGAACGCUGGCGGUAGGCCUAACACAUGCAAGUCGAACGGCAGCACAGUAAGAGCUUGCUCUUACGGGUGGCGAGUGGCGGACGGGUGAGGAGUACAUCGGAAUCUACUUUUUCGUGGGGGAUAACGUAGGGAAACUUACGCUAAUACCGCAUACGACCUACGGGUGAAAGCAGGGGAUCUUCGGACCUUGCGCGAUUGAAUGAGCCGAUGUCGGAUUAGCUAGUUGGCGGGGUAAAGGCCCACCAAGGCGACGAUCCGUAGCUGGUCUGAGAGGAUGAUCAGCCACACUGGAACUGAGACACGGUCCAGACUCCUACGGGAGGCAGCAGUGGGGAAUAUUGGACAAUGGGCACAAGCCUGACCCAGCCAUACCGCGUGGGUGAAGAAGGCCUUCGGGUUGUAAAGCCCUUUUGUUGGGAAAGAAAAGCAGCAGGUUAAUACCCCGCUGUUCUGACGGUACCCAAAGAAUAAGCACCGGCUAACUUCGUG